GUAGACGGCCGGUGUGCGGGCGACAUCGUUUGAGCCCGGAAACGGGCGAGAUGCCGCCCCCUGAAGGCUGUCUCACUCCUCCAUCGUUGGCUUAUCAGGGCCGACACAUAGCAAAUACGGCCACCUGGGG
rfam:Nitratifractor salsuginis DSM 16511, complete genome.